rnacentral:lncRNA from 1 species
CUCUGGCCGCCGGCCGCCCGCGAAGGGAAGAAGCCAUGCCGCCCGACGCAGCAGCCAACCCGGAGUACGCCUUGUGCCAGGCUUACGUGCGCCUGAAGGGACUGGCCGUGCUCGCCGUGGGUACGGGAGCGGCCUUUGCGGUUCUCAGGAAGCCCCUUUCCCUCCCCUGGAGCGCGCUCUUCUCCCUGGCUCUGGUUGGCUUACCCACCUAUGCAAUUACCCGGAGGCAGCUGAAGAACUGUGCUGACUUGUGGGACUUCCAGACCACCCCCUCCAAAAAAGUAGCCCAAAGGUGAGAGCAGGGCAAGGUUGGAGCAGUUCAAAGGCUUGCAGCCAUAUUGCAAAUCCCAACCGGGCAGGACACAAGGCCUGACUGUUCACACCCAACAGCUCACCUGCCAGCAAGUGGUGAAGCAUCAGGUGCCCUCCAAGCAGCGUUUCGGGAGCUGCUUCCUUUUUCGGCUUUAUUCUCCUCAAAAGACAGGCGCUCCACCUUCCUUCAGGCAGCAGGAGAGCAACAGUCCGGUGGCUGAGAUGGGCUGGCACCUUUAUGGGCACUGGAUCCAGUCAGGCCCCUGGUUUCACCACAGCCCAGAGUGGGAAAGUGACGUUUGACCUUCAGGCCUCCAGGAUCUUGUGCAAUUAAAGUUAUUUUGCUCG